UGGGGAAUUUUGCACAAUGGGGGAAACCCUGAUGCAGCGACGCCGCGUGAUUUAGAAGGCCUUCGGGUUGUAAAAAUCUUUUCUAUGGGAAGAAAAUGACAGUACCAUAGGAAUAAGGACCGGCUAAUUACGUGCCAGCAGCCGCGGUAAUACGUAAGGUCCGAGCGUUGUCCGGAAUCAUUGGGCGUAAAGGGUACGUAGGCGGGUAAGCAAGUUAGAAGUGAAAUCCUAUAGCUCAACUAUAGUAAGCUUUUAAAACUGCUCAUCUUGAGGUAUGGAAGGGAAAGUGGAAUUCCUAGUGUAGCUGUGAAAUGCGCAGAUAUUAGGAGGAAUACCGGUGGCGAAGGCGACUUUCUGGCCAUAACCUGACGCUGAGGUACGAAAGCGUGGGUAGCAAACAGG
rnacentral:rRNA from 1 species